GAUCAUUUCAGCCAUGGUCUCUUUUUGGGUGUGCUAAUGGCAUCUUCAGAAAGAAAAGAUGCUGAGAUUCCAUAACUCUGUCAAUCCACGGGUCCUUUGAAUUCUCUAGAGCCCAUCACAUGUGCAGUUUUAACCACCUUAAAAAGUUUUAUGGUAGAGGACUUCCUUCCAGCAUUUUCUCGUCCCAAGAUUCUUAAAAAAAGUUGGUGCAACCUUCUUAGAAUGAGAUCACCAUAAACAUGAGCAACCACCACUAGAAUGUCCAGAUUUUAAAGCUGAAAAAUAAAAAGCUGAAGUGAAAUUUCCAGUUAAAUUAUUUUAAGGAAUGUAGCAGCAAUAAGUUAGGCAUAAAAGAUUUCCACCAGUCUAGGUUCUGCAACUUCUGUAAUUGAGUCAGCUUGAUCUAAUGCUCUCCAACAUCCCAAGACAAUGUAGCUUGCUCUAAAAACAAUUGCCUUGCAAUCAAUGUUACUGAACUCGCAUCGGACAGACGGAUUGACCCGGAGAAUCGGUCAUAAAAUCCGUCCGAUUCUGUACUUGAACCGGAAAUGAAGAGAUCCGGAUUGACAGGCCGACCCGACACUAAGUCUGCCCGCUUUCAAGCAGCACAGAUCCGCUAGAACCGGGUUGGUUCAAUUAUGCCCCCAAAAACGACUCCACUUUUUGCGUUUCUCGUUGAUGCGCCGCGUUUUCGUAAUUCUUCUAACCUUUUUCUUCGGUUUUUCUGAUGGCGGCGAACACUUGUGAGUUUCUCCACAAUUCCCAAAUCCCUAAAGACUCAAGCCCAAAUUUCCUAGCCUUCGAAUUUUUUGCCGCUAUUGUUAUCCGUCGAAGCUCAUGUUCUUUGUUCAUCCAUCCUCACCAGUUGAAGCUUCAUUGUGGAAGCCAUAACUAGAAGUAGUCUUCAUCUCUGCUAGUGUGCCCUGCUUUUUCAAAGCUUGUGUUUAUCAAAUAAAAUCAUGUUAAUAAUAGCUCCAAGACUGCAGUAGGCUGUUGACGUGUUUGUAAUUUUAUGUGCGUAAAUUGCAAUAUGCUUUUGACAUGUAUAGUAUAUUAUAUGAGAAUGAUUGACAUGUGUCCAACAUUUACCAAUUACUUGUAACCCAACCAUCUACGUACCCUCCACUCACUCACAGGGAACCCUUUCAUUUUCUUACCAGUGAUUGGAUUCUAUUUUCUUGACCGAGUUUAAUAACACUGCUUGAAAAAUUGUAUUCUUUUCUGCUUACACCAAACAGGGUGUUAGUCUAAAC
rnacentral:misc_RNA from 1 species